GGGGGUGUAGCUCAGCGGUAAGAGCGGGUUCUUUAUAAGGGCCGGGUCGAGGGUUCAAAUCCCUCCGCCCCUACCA
rnacentral:tRNA from 1 species